rnacentral:rRNA from 1 species
AUUGAACGCUGGCGGCAGGCCUAACACAUGCAAGUCGAGCGGAGCGGCGGUCGGGUGAGUAAUGCCUAGGAAUCUGCCAGGUAGUGGGGGAUAAGGUCCGGAAACGGGCGCUAAUGCUGCAUACUAUCAGAUGAGCCUAUGUCGGAUUAGCUAGGUGGUGGGGUAAAGGCCUACCAAGGCGACGAUCCGUAACUGGUCUGAGAGGAUGAUCAGUCACACUGGAACUGAGACACGGUCCAGACUCCUACGGGAGGCAGCAGUGGGGAAUAUUGGACAAUGGGCGAAAGCCUGAUCCAGCCAUGCCGCGUGUGUGAAGAAGGUCUUCGGAUUGUAAAGCACUUUAAGUUGGGAGGCGUUACCAACAGAAUAAGCACCGGCUAACUUCGUGCCAGCAGCCGCGGUAAUAC